rnacentral:lncRNA from 1 species
AAAAUAGCAGAUCAUCACAAAAGUAGGUUUUACAUAAAUGAGGAGGAAUCCACAGGGUUGUGUAUAUGUGUGUGUAUUUUAAAUUCUGACAUAAGUUGGAGCUUUAGGGUAGACUGUGACAUAAGAGUAGUUUGUUUUCCAACUCAUGUAAUUGCCGGCUGAUUUUUGUCUUGAAUUAUGAUAAUGGUAACUUCUGUUGAAACAAUUCUGUAUUCAUCUUAGCUUGGUUGGGAUGCAAUAAAAGUUUUGUACUGGUAAAAAUGAUAAUUUUCUUCCAUGAUGAUUUUGAAGCUUUUCUGUAACACCUGAUAAAAAUAGAGGGGCCAGGCAUGGUGGCUCAUGCCUGUAGUCCCAGCUACUCGGGAGGAUGAGGUGAGAGGAUCCCAUGAGCCCGUGCAGCCAUCAGCCC